AUUGAACGCUGGCGGCAGGCUUAACACAUGCAAGUCGAGCGGAGAUGAGGUGCUUGCACCUUAUCUUAGCGGCGGACGGGUGAGUAAUGCUUAGGAAUCUGCCUAUUAGUGGGGGACAACAUUCCGAAAGGAAUGCUAACACCGCAUACGCCCUACGGGGGAAAGCAGGGGAUCUUCGGACCUUGCGCUAAUAGAUGAGCCUCAGUCGGAUUAGCUAGUUGGUGGGGUAAAGGCCUACCAAGGCGACGAUCUGUAGCGGGUCUGAGAGGAUGAGCCGCUGCACUGGGACGGCGACACGGCCCAGACUUCUACGGGAAGAAGCAGUGGGGAAUAUUGGACAAUGGGCGGAAGCCUGAUCCAGUCAUGCGGCGUGUGUGAAGAAGGCCUUUUGGUUGUAAAGCACUUUAAGCGAGGAGGAGGCUACCUGGAUUAAUACUCUAGGAUAGUGGACGUUACUCGAAGAAUAAGCACCGGCUAACUCUGUGCCAGCAGCCGCCGUAAAAC
rnacentral:rRNA from 1 species